GAUGAAGAACGCAGUGAAAUGCGAUAAGUAAUGCGAAUUGCAGAAUUCAGUGAGUCAUCGAAUCUUUGAACGCACAUUGCGCCCCUUGGUAUUCCGGGGGGCAUGCCUGUUCGAGCGUCAUUAUAACCCCUCAAGCUCAGCUUGGUGUUGGGGCCUGCCGACUGGCAGCCCUUAAAAUCAGUGGCGGCGCCAUCUGGCUCUAAGCGUAGUAAUUUCUCUCGCUAUAGAGUCCCGGUGGAUGCUUGCCAGCAACCCCCAACUUUCUAUGGUUGACCUCGGAUCAGGUAGGGAUACCCGCUGAACUUAAGCAUAUCAAUAAGCGGAGGA
rnacentral:misc_RNA from 1 species